rnacentral:rRNA from 1 species
CAGUAGCCGCGGUAAUACGAAGGGUGCAAGCGUUACUCGGAAUUACUGGGCGUAAAGCGUGCGUAGGUGGUGGUUUAAGUCCGUUGUGAAAGCCCAGGGCUCAACCUGGGAAUUGCAGUGGAUACUGGGUCACUAGAGUGUGGUAGAGGAUAGUGGAAUUUCCGGUGUAGCAGUGAAAUGCGUAGAGAUCGGAGGGAACAUCUGUGGCGAAGGCGACUAUCUGGGCCAACACUGACACUGAGGCACGAAAGCGUGGGGAGCAAACAGGAUUAGAUACCCGCGUAGUCCCUGUCUCUUAUAC